CAACUACUCCCUCUAUCCAAAAUUUAUUAUCUUAGAUUUGUCUAGAUACAGAGGUAUCUAAUACUAAAAUGUGACUUGAUACAUCCAUAUCUAGACAAAUCUAAGACAAGAAUUUUGGGACAGAGGGAGUACUUU
rfam:Triticum aestivum genome assembly, contig: Triticum_aestivum_CS42_TGACv1_scaffold_222831_3B